ACAGGAAAACAAUGAAGUCCUUGUUGUUUUUGUGUGUGUUUGCAACAAGCUUCUUCGUGUCGUCUGCGUCUUUAAUCGACGCGUUGAAAGCUGCCCACCAGUCUCCGUCGUUUCGCACACUAAGUCACCAUGACCAGUUACUGGUUAUCGAGUUAAUUGCGGAAACAGAAGCCGGAGAACUCAAGUCCUACAUUGACUCUGUGGGAUUUCACAAUGUGCUUGCUGUUAUUGAUAAACUUCCUGCCGCCGAAGCACAUGUACUGACAACUUAUCUUAUGAAUGAGCUUGCUCUAGAGGAACAUUAAGUAACAACAGUGUCUCCAGCGGUCGUAGGAAAGAGACAAAGUAGCAAUCUUGUUCAAGUACUAAAAGCCGCAAAGGAGAACCCAGCGUUCCAGAAUCUGACAGAUACAGACCAACAACUUAUUAUCAAGAUGCUUACAGCAGCUGAGAAUAACCAACUGACAAUUCUCAUCGACCAACUUGGUUAUUCUACAGUUCUAAGGAUAAUAGACAUUCUCCCAGAUGCAGAAAAACAUCUCUUUGAACAGUACCUAAUCCAGCACUUGCACGAUGAAUCUAGUCCUAUAGGAUAAGAAACUACAGCAGUUGGGACAGCAGCUUUAUUGUUUGGUUAAAAAGAUUAUAAAACAAUCAGUUUAGUUGUAAUUUUAUUUUUAAAAAAAUAAAGUUUUGAUUCAAAGAAAAUA